GCCCGGCUGAGGGCUCAGCACUCUAGCCGUGUGAAGGCUCUGCCCCGGGUGAGGGUUGAGGGCGCGGCUGCUUCCCCUCUCUGAGGGCGGGGGCCGGUUCUACCGUGGGCUCUGCUGAGGAUAAAAGAGCGCGGUUGCCGCUGUAGGGCACUGAGGGGAGACGGCAGGAGCCGGGAGGCUGAGUGCUCUCCCAACAAAACAGCCUUCAGAGGAAAUAGCCCAAGAGCUUAAAAUUGUGUUGGUGCCUCUCACCAGACUUCACAGCAGCAUCUGUCUACCCAGGAGCACCUGAGGGCGCUGAGGCAUCAGAUGCAUCUUCACACCAGCGGAUCAGGCAGCUACAACCAACCCCAUUUCACUACUGGAACAUCCUCCAGCUGGACAGCAAACCCCAGCCUCAGAAAAACUGUGACUGUGCCAGAAUUUCCACCUAUCUCACUGUGAUUAAUAGACCUCAGACUGCGAGGAGGGAGUAUUGACAUCAUAAAUAACACACUUCAUAAGGAAGGUUAAUUUUCAGACUUUCCAGAAGCAAUCUACAGACUCCUAAAAGUCAUAGGCAGGCUGAAAAUGAAGAUAGUUUUCCCAACACUGCCAGCAAAAUAACUUAGAGAGCAGUGUUUUCCUUAGAGAGCUCACACGUAAGUGCCUAACCAGCCUAAGACUCUUAAAGUAAUCAUCUUAUCAGCCCUUACUACUUAUUACUAUGUCAUCCUGUGCCCUUAAAGAAAGACAAAAAUAGACUGUUGAAGGAUUUAUGAUGAAGCCACUCCUGUUCUCAUAAACUUGUAUCUGGGCCUAGGUGAAUGGUUUUCUGCAUGCUGGGAAAAGGAAAUAAAAAUAAAUUAGAAGAAUAUGAGGAGACCAAAUAAUAGAUUUUUAAUAUUUUUUAUCUGGAUAAUGAGCAUAGCAGAGAAACUGAUUGGAAAGUAAUUUGCUAAGUGAUACAAGCAGAAAGACAUUCAGGAAGAUGGAAUGGAAAUAUCUUGGGGAACAUCUGGCAAAUUAAAGAAUUCCAAUUAGGUUUACAAGAAAACAAGGAAAUCCAUGCCAGAUUGAGGAGAGAAGCAUUUAAAAUCGCUUGGAAUCCUGAUGGCUUCUCAAAUAACCCGUCAACUCAGAACACUGUGAUUCUCAGGGCAGCAGGUAGCUCACAGUAGUUUAAGUUAUUAAUUUCCCUUUUUGUUUUCCCCCAAGGAUCCAUUGUACUUAAGUAUACAAAACCAAGAUUUUACAGGUACAGUUAAAGAGGCUAUUGUGAAAGAUUAAGUUUAUUAUCCCUGAUGUGUUUGUUAAGGUCUUGGGAACAAAAUAAAAAUGUUUCUGAAUGGAA